CCUACGGGAGGCAGCAGUGAGGAAUAUUGGUCAAUGGGCGCGAGCCUGAACCAGCCAAGUAGCGUGAAGGAUGACUGCCCUACGGGUUGUAAACUUCUUUUAUAAAGGAAUAAAGGGAGGCACGUGUGCCUUUUUGGAUGUACUGUAUGAAUAAGGAUCGGCUAACUCCGUGCCAGCAGCCGCGGUAAUACGGAGGAUCCGAGCGUUAUCCGGAUUUAUUGGGUUUAAAGGGAGCGUAGAUGGGUUGUUAAGUCAGUUGUGAAAGUUUGCGGCUCAACCGGAAAAUUGCAAUUGAUACUGGCAGUCUUGCUUACCGUUGCGGUAGGCGGACUUCGUGGUGUAGCGGUGACAUGCUUAGAUCUCAC
rnacentral:rRNA from 1 species